CGGGGCGUAGCGCAGCCUGGUAGCGCACGUGCAUGGGGUGCACGGGGUCGGAGGUUCAAAUCCUCUCGCCCCGA
rfam:Desulfuromonas soudanensis strain WTL chromosome, complete genome.